AUUGAACGCUGGCGGAAUGCUUUACACAUGCAAGUCGAGCGGCAGCGCGGGGGCAAUCCUGGCGGCGAGCGGCGAACGGGUGAGUAAUACAUCGGAACAUGUCCAGUUGUGGGGGAUAGCCCGGCGAAAGCCGGAUUAAUACCGCAUGAGCUCUGGCGAGGAAAGCGGGGGACCCGUAAGGGCCUCGCGCGACUGGGUUGGCCGAUGUCCGAUUAGCUAGUUGGGGGGUAAAGGCUCACCAAGCGAUGAUCGGUAGCUGGUCUGAGAGGAUGAUCAGCCACACUGGGACUGAGACACGGCCCAGACUCCUACGGGAGGCAGCAGUGGGGAAUUUUGGACAA
rnacentral:rRNA from 1 species